rnacentral:piRNA from 1 species
UAGGUGAUGAUGAUUGGGUAUUACAUUAGC